rnacentral:lncRNA from 10 species
CCCACUGGAAAACUAAGCCCUUCCACCCUGCCCUAUAACGCAAAGGUGCUUAACGUAAUUUAUCUGACUUUAAAAUUUCAACUCGGUAUUGCUACUAGCCUAAAAUAUAUAGAGACAGUUUAUAAUAUCUUUUUCAUUUUGCUGACGCUUUACAGUUUAAGAGCUCUUUCGCAUACAGUCUGAUUUAAUUUUACAGAGCAGAAAACCAACGUUCAGAGAGCUUUGACAACUUAAGAGAUAGCCCCCAACAUCAAGGCGUAUUCCACUUACCGACUGUCCCUUUUUGUGCUUCCUUCUGUAGAGGACAGUCCAGUUUAUCUGCCGAGGAUUCCUCUUGGAAAGGAAAGCCGACUCGCAUUUCGCAUUAAGAAACUGGAAAACCUAGAGUGACAAAUGCAAAGGAAUUACUAUUUAACUAUACAAAGUACAAGAGGCUGAGUAAGCUUGGAAUCCUUAGAAGAUCAAUAUGCUAGUUCUGGCUUAUCAUUUUACAAAACUGAGGCCCACAAGGACCAAAAGGCUGUCACAUAACUGGCAGGUAACUGUGUCACACUAUGAAGGUCCUUGCGUUUAGUCUUUUCUCGAGAGCAGGAAAUCUAGGCUCAUAGCAAAGGACAGGGUGGUGCGUCCUUCUGGGAAGCAUUCUGCUCUUGUCCGUCCCAGGAUUCCAAAGGGUACCUCCGUACCUCAGUUAUUUCCCUUACACCGGGACAUCAGUUACAUAAACCCCUCCUGAUGUCCGACCUGGCUCACAAUAAAUAAUCAACACUGGUUCACUUAGAGGUUUCUGGUCCUAACGACCAGUCCACAGAGCGUCCACGAAGACUUCCAGAGGCCAGUGGUGAUGUGGGGAAUAAACCCGCCUAAACCGAAUUAAACCAGCCUUUCCUCCUCGGAGUACAAGAAGGUAGGUGAAGCCGACGCGGCUUUUUACCUUCCCGUCGGUCCUGGCGUAGCGCCUCCCGUGUCCGGGGUAGAUCUUGUACCCGCUAAAACUGCACAGCUCGACCCUGCAACAAAAAGUGAAAGUCCAUCAGGGAGGGUGUCUACAGCCAUGCCAGGGACGACAGAGAGGAGUUCUGCCCGAGGAUGUAAGCGGAUUGGGAACCACGGGUCGUGCUUACUUCAUGGCGACAGCUCCACGGAAAGACAAAAGAUGGCGAAAAGAAAGAGAGAAUCAUGGGAAGAGACCUUAUAAGGUCGCUGCGGGGAUGGGGGCCGGAAAUCUCCUCCCCAAUAUCCUUCGAUGCUCCUGGCCCUCCUUGAUGACGUAAUCAUCGCGAGGCGAAAGAUCUCGUUUUCCCUGACAGCUGACUUCCUCUGGCGCAAUUCAUCCAGAGGCGCUGGAGGGUUCUCGGGCCCAGAGGGCCUGCCAAAAAGGCAGUCAGACAGUUGGUUUAUGAGUCAUUCUGUCUCUGUCUCUCCUCUCUUUUUUUUUUUUGAGACGGAGUUUCGCUCUUGUUGCCCAGGCUGGAGUGCAGUGGCGCAAUCUCGGCUCACCGUAACCUCCGCCUCCCAGGUUCAAGCGAUUCUCCUGCCUCAGCCUCCCUAGUAGCUGGGAUUACAGGCAUGUGCCACCACGUCCGGCUAAUUUUGUAUUUUUCGUAGAGACGGGGUUUCUCCAUGUUGGUCAGGCUGGUCUCGAACUCCUGACCUCAGGUGGUCCGCCCUCCUCGGCCUCCCAAAGUGUUGGGAUUAUAGGCGGGAGCCACUGCGCCCGGCCCAUUCUGCCUCUCUUACUGCCAAGUAUCCUAGAGCCAUCUUCCGGCUGCAGGGAAUGUGAACUGAAGAGAAAGGUGUCCUCUCUUCUCAUAAAGAGACCCAAAGACGAAUGCCCCGCAGGUAAAACCAGUCACAUUUUGCCUUCCCUGUUGGCCCAUUUCCUCAACCAAACAAAUUAAUAGUUUCACCAUUUAUAAGAAAGUAAUGACAACCGAACCGUUUCUCAGGCUGUGCGAAUCGAACAGUGCGCGUUGGCGCUUUGCAUUAAUUAUAAUUAACAUUCUUUGAGCGCUUUCUCUGUGCCGGGAAUUAUGCCAAAGGCUUUUUAAACAUGAGCUCAUUCAGUUUCCAAAAUUCCUAUUAAGUACCUGCCUAAGAACUACAAUUCGGAGUUGCUGCCUAGUGAAGUUGAGGGGGUCGGUGGAGCCCCGCUGGGAGGCCAAGGGCUCAAUCUGUUGAGCCCUUCUAUGAUGCUACAUAUUUCAUCGUAUGACAAGGAGUGGCCAGAGGCAAUUCUUGAAUUCUGUGGGAGGUUGCAGUAUAUGACUAGGAAACAAAUGUAAUGACUGAGUUCUGCUUUCUAUGUAUGCAACUCACCCUAAAAACGUUUUGUAAGGUAGCUGGUUGAAGAUAUUUGGAAUGUCUAACAAGUUGGCUGACUAAUGUCAUGAAAACUGUACAAUUGUGCUGGUCCCAAACUCUUGACCUCAGGUGAUCCACUCGUUCUCCCAAAGUGCUAGGAUUACAGGCGUGAGCCACCGCGCCGGGCCUGGAACCAGUCUUAAGAAUGAUGUUAGGUGGCCAGUCAUGGCGGCU